UGGGGAAUAUUGCACAAUGGAGGGAACUCUGAUGCAGCGACGCCGCGUGAACGAAGAAGGCUUUCGAGUCGUAAAGUUCUUUUAUAUGGGAAGAUAAUGACGGUACCAUAAGAAGAAGCCCCGGCUAACUACGUGCCAGCAGCCGCGGUAAUACGUAGGGGGCUAGCGUUGACCGGAAUCACUGGGCGUAAAGGGUUCGCAGGCGGAAAUGCAAGUCAGGUGUAAAAGGCAGUAGCUUAACUACUGUAAGCAUUUGAAACUGCAUAUCUUGAGAAGAGUAGAGGUAAGUGGAAUUUUUAGUGUAGCGGUGAAAUGCGUAGAUAUUAAAAAGAAUACCGGUGGCGAAGGCGACUUACUGGGCUCAUUCUGACGCUGAGGAACGAAAGCGUGGGUAGCAAACAGG
rnacentral:rRNA from 1 species